UAGUAACUGCGAGUGAAGCGGGAAAAGCUCAAAUUUAAAAUCUGGCGGUCUUUGGCCGUCCGAGUUGUAGUCUGGAGAAGUGCUUUCCGCGCUGGACCGUGUAUAAGUCUCUUGGAACAGAGCGUCAUAGAGGGUGAGAAUCCCGUCUUUGACACGGACUACCAGUGCUUUGUGAUGCGCUCUCAAAGAGUCGAGUUGUUUGGGAAUGCAGCUCAAAAUGGGUGGUGAAUUCCAUCUAAAGCUAAAUAUUGGCGAGAGACCGAUAGCGAACAAGUACCGUGAGGGAAAGAUGAAAAGCACUUUGGAAAGAGAGUUAAACAGUACGUGAAAUUGCUGAAAGGGAAACGCUUGAAGUCAGUCGCGUCUUCCGGAACUCAGCCUUCCUUUUGGUUGGUGCACUUUCCGGUAGACGGGCCAGCAUCGAUUUCGACCGUCGGAAAAGGGCUGGGGAAAUGUGGCACCUUUCGGGGUGUGUUAUAGUCCUCAGUCGCAUACGUCGGUUGGGAUCGAGGAUCGCAGCGCGCCGCAAGGCAGGGGUUCGCCCACUUUCGCGCUUAGGAUGCUGGCAUAAUGGCUUUAAACGACCCGUCUUGAAACACGGACCAAGGAGUCUAACAAACCUGCGAGUGUUUGGGUGGAAAACCCGAGCGCGUAAUGAAAGUGAAAGUUGAGACCUCUGUCGUGAGGGCAUCGACGCCCGGACCUGACGUUCUCUGACGGAUCCGCGGUAGAGCAUGUUUGUUGGGACCCGAAAGAUGGUGAACUAUGCCUGAAUAGGGUGAAGCCAGAGGAAACUCUGGUGGAGGCUCGUAGCGAUUCUGACGUGCAAAUCGAUCGUCAAAUUUGGGUAUAGGGGCGAAAGACUAAUCGAACCAUCUAGUAGCU
rnacentral:rRNA from 1 species